rnacentral:rRNA from 1 species
CGCGGCCUAUCAGCUUGUUGGCGGGGUAACGGCCCACCAAGGCAUCGACGGGUAGCUGGUCUGAGAGGACGAUCAGCCACACUGGGACUGAGACGCGGCCCAGACUCCUACGGGAGGCAGCAGUGGGGAAUAUUGCGCAAUGGGCGAAAGCCUGACGCAGCAACGCCGCGUGGGGGAUGAAGGCCUUCGGGUUGUAAACCCCUUUCAGCAGGGACGAAAAUGACGGUACCUGCAGAAGAAGCCCCGGCCAACUACGUGCCAGCAGCCGCGGUAACACGUAGGGGGCGAGCGUUGUCCGGAUUUAUUGGGCGUAAAGAGCUCGUAGGCAGUUGCGUAAGUCGGAUGUGAAAACUCAGGGCUCAACCCGGAGACGCCAUCCGAUACUGCGCUGACUAGAGUCCGGUAGGGGAGCAUGGAAUUCCUGGUGUAGCGGUGAAAUGCGCAGAUAUCAGGAGGAACACCAGUAGCGAAGGCGGUGCUCUGGGCCGGUACUGACGA